rnacentral:rRNA from 1 species
UACGUAGGGGGCAAGCGUUGUCCGGAUUUAUUGGGCGUAAAGAGCGUGUAGGCGGCUUGGUAGGUCCGCUGUGAAAACUCGAGGCUCAACCUCGAGACGCCGGUGGAAACCAUCAGGCUAGAGUCCGGAAGAGGAGAGUGGAAUUCCUGGUGUAGCGGUGAAAUGCGCAGAUAUCAGGAAGAACACCCGUGGCUAAGGCGGCUCUCUAGUACGGUACUGACGCUGAGACGCGAACGCGUGGGGAGCGAACAGG